GACGAACGCUGGCGGCGUGCUUAACACAUGCAAGUCGAGCGGUAAGGCCCUUUACGGGGGUACACGAGCGGCGAACGGGUGAGUAACACGUGGGUGACCUGCCCUCAGCUCUGGGAUAAGCCUGGGAAACCGGGUCUAAUACUGGAUAUGACUCCAUGACGCAUGUUGUGGGGUGGAAAGCCUUGUGCGGCUGAGGAUGGGCCCGCGGCCUAUCAGCUUGUUGGGUGGGGUGAGGCCUACCAAGGCGACGACGGGUAGCCGGCCUGAGAGGGCGACCGGCCACAC
rnacentral:rRNA from 1 species